rnacentral:rRNA from 1 species
CCUACGGGGGGCAGCAGUGAGGAAUAUUGGUCAAUGGGCGCGAGCCUGAACCAGCCAAGUCGCGUGAGGGAAGACGGUCCUAUGGAUUGUAAACCUCUUUUGUCGGGGAGCAAAAGACGCCACGCGUGGCGUUCCGAGAGUACCCGAAGAAAAAGCAUCGGCUAACUCCGUGCCAGCAGCCGCGGUAAUACGGAGGAUGCGAGCGUUAUCCGGAUUUAUUGGGUUUAAAGGGUGCGCAGGCGGAAGAUCAAGUCAGCGGUAACAUUGAGAGGCUCAACCUCGUCGAGCCGUUGAAACUGGUUUUU